AUUUGCUGUUUCAGUUUGCAGUGUGCUUUCAGGAACACUCCACCUUCCCCAGCUCCACCUGUAUAAAUCUGCUACAGGCUCUCACACGUCCAGGCAGGUCGGGGAAGGCAAUGUGAGAAUCACUCAGACGUGACAAGUUAAAUGACCGCAGUGAACGAGUCAACUUCUGAAGUGAGGGCUUCUGAUGGGCUGUCAUUGACUUCCAUCCCGGCUGGCCGAGAGGCGGACGCAUUACAGCGAGCUUUGACCCAGUACUCCAUGUUACAGCCUUACAGCGCCAUGCCUUGACUUUCCUUGAAGGAUAUUUCCAGAAGUCACUAACCUUGGUUCUUCCACACAAGAACGACGUUUGGAGUUGGUGCUCAGGCCUUCGAUGUCGUGAACGGAGGAGGCCCGUCUCCGGCUGAACAUGCUGUCUCUGGA